GUUCUGUCCUCGAAGUGAGGCUACUCCUGUGUGAGUUCAGUGAAUUCCAGCUUCAAAAGGAGAAAUCUCGGUAGGGGAUAGCUCUGAAGCUGGGUCACCAUUUUCAGCUGGAAGGACUUAAAAUGUGCUUUUAAGAUGUGGCCAUAUCCCGUUAUUUUUGUCUAAACACACAAAUUCAACAAGUAUUUAUUAUUAUUUACUUUCUCUCUGCGUUGGACAGAAGGGUGAGGGAGGUGAGCAUGGAACAUCGUUCUUUUAAAUAAUUGUCACCUGUUUUGAGCAGGGCGUGGUGCUAUGACGCGUGAGGAUGAUCUGUGCAUGAAUAUUGAUAGAAAGCAGUUGAUAAGCAGGUGUAGAGGAUACAAGGAUCCUGCCCCCAAGGGGCUUAAGGCCUAGUAGAGAAGAUGAAAGUCUGCGUCAAGCAAAAAGAAAGUUGUACAUGCUGGGGAGGAAGUAUAAAGUAUUCCAAGAUGAGAGAACCCUGUGGGCAAAGGCAUGCAGGCAGAACACAGGGGAAAUCCUUAGAAUAUUCAGUAGUUUAGUGUGACCAGAGGGCUGGAUAUGUGAAAGUUCUUUAGAGGAGAUAGAGCAGAAAAAGUAGAGUUAGCGAUGCUACACUAGGAUUUUUUUAACUUUUUAAAAUUUUGUAUUGGAGUAUAGCCAGUUAACAAUGUUGUGACAGUUUCAGGUGAACAGCAAAAGGCCUCAGCCAUACAUAUACAUGUAUCCAUUCUCCUACACUAGGAUUUUUACUUUAAUCUAUUUCUUUGUAAGACAUUUUUACAGUUCUAAGUAGAGUAGAAUGAUUGUUCCAUUUUAGGGACACUAUUAUGGAAGUGUGAGGAUAGAACCAGCUGGAAAAAUAUUAGCUAGGAUACUAAUUAGAUGAGUGUAAUGAGGAACUAAACUGUGCUCAGCAGUGAAAAAGACAAGAGAGAUGAGAGGGUGAUUGUAGAGCACCAGACUGGUCUCUGGCCAUAGGAGUGUGGAGGGAUGACUUUGAGGUUGUACCCAGGUGACUAGAACGACUUAGCAGUAGCGGCAGCCGCGGGACGUGCAGUUCUUAUAUUC
ensembl:lncRNA